AUGAGAGCGGCUCUGGAAAAGGGUCGCCUUGAGGGAAAUGGAGACGGACGUCGCCUGGUGCCAGGUUGAAGACCUGCAGCAGACACUUGCCCGCCGGCGCUGGCGCCACCUCCGUUUUCUACAACACGCAGCACACUAAUGGUCAGAGCAAACUUUGUGGUGGACGUACCACCACGUGGACCUCCACCAGGGCGGCGGCACCAAAUGCCAACGCGGCGAAAAUCAUCCCGGCGGCCAUUUUCCUCAGCGGCCUUUGGAAAAGGAGGAAGUUGAGCGCGUUAUUGUUUCAUAUCGUCAUUUUCAAAAAGUGACAAAAAGAACUCACGUGAUGUUGAUCCCGCAGAGGGCGACCAGCGGGUAUAUGAGGAGGUCGAACACGGGAACGAACACCAGAAUCAGCAGCGCGUUCAACGUCUACCACAGAGAAGGUGCGAGCGAGCGCAUACCUGCAUUUGAUCGGGUUUGAUGGAGAAGGCGUCUCCCUGGGAUGCAACACAAACAAAACUCAAUACAUGAUUAAUUUUUAACCCGAGAAAUCCAUCAGGAAGUUCAUCGAGCAAGAAAUUGGCGAGCGGAUGAUCCAUUCGGCUCGUAAAAAAAAAAAAGUUACAACGGGCAACGAUCGCAUGGAAGAUAACGAAGCGGAAGCAGCGAACUUACAAAGGCCAUGUUCAUCCGGGUGGCCUGCAGCGUCCAGCGGGAACCCUGGAAUCAAACAUCGCAUUGUUAGUGUCCUUCAAGCCACGUCGGAUCAACAAAUUGGAUUCCGGGACCUGCUGAUCGAACAGAGCCCAGAACAUCGGAAGAGGGAUGUAGAGCACCAGAACCCGCAGAACCAUUUUGAUCUCCACAAUCAGACGCUUCUGUUGACACAAGUCAAGGAAAUAAACAUUUAAAAAUGGGUCAAACACAGGCACAUUUUUUUUUGUCGUGUUGUCUUUUUUUUU